UUGUUGGCCAUCCUCUUCCCUAUAAAAAGCGCUUCUUCAAAAAGCACUGUGGCUUCUCCUACUCUCAUCUCCAAUAUCACCAAAGCAGCUUCUUCCCAACUAAGAAGCACAAGCUUCCACUGCAAUCAGCUUUUCCCUGAAGCUCUUAUUAUUCACAAAAUUUUGAGAUGGGUGUUUAGAUAGAAUGGGUUCUUUGAAAUUUCCUACCCCACAGGAUAUUUUUGAGUGCAAAAGAUGCAAUUUUUUGCGAAAUUCUUUGCUCUCCGGAGCGGAUUUGGUCGGUUUUAGUUCGCAGGUAUCGCCGAUUAGCGUCGGACGUGUUGUAGAUUGGAAGAAGGAAGCAAGAGGAAAUGUAAAAUGUCGCGGGUUUUUGUUUGAUGUUAGAAGUGGCGAGUUUUCAUAUGUUUCUGGCAUUAGUAGUUCGAAAUUUAAUCCGAAGGUUAGGUUGAGUCACAUUAAAGUUCACAGUUCAAAGCACGACGGCGAUUCCCGAUCAGUAUCCGAACUAUCUGAUAAAUCUCACACAACUCGUGUUAGUAAUGCGCGUUUGCCGAAUCUCGUCACGAGUCGUAGAGAUAAUGUGUGUAGAAAGAAGAAAAGGAAUGUAUGGAACCGAGUCGUGGGUAUUCAGAAGCCGGCGAGACAAAAAGUUGCUUUAUCUGCUAUUGGCCCUAAUUCUGGCGUGGAAAUGUGUAAUUCUGUUCUAAAGCAUCUCGCGAAAAUCAGCGAUGAGAAAACACUUGAUUUCUUCGAGCGGAUGAAGAGUAAUGGAAAACUUACGAGAAAUGCCGACGCGUAUCGUCUAGCCCUUAGAGCAUUGGCGAGGAGGGAGGAGUGGUGUAGAGCUGAGUCAUUGAUUCAAGAAAUGGUUUCGCUCUCAGAGUGCGAAGUCGACAUUCAAGUGUUUAACCCGCUAAUAUAUGUGUGUGCGAAAAGAGGCAACGUCGACUGGGGAACAAAGUGGUUUAACUCGAUGUUAGAAAGAGGCGUCGAGCCUAAUGUUUCUACAAUCGGCAUGCUCAUGAAUCUCUAUCAGAAAAGCAGCGAUCUUUCUCAAGCCGAGUACACUUUUUCUCUUAUGAGAAGCUACAAAUUGAAGUGCGUAAAUGCGUACUCUUCGAUGAUCACCAUAUACACACGUUCGGGCUUGUACGCGAAGUCGGAGGAGAUCAUCAAUCUAAUGAGAAGGGACGAAGUGAUUCCGAAUUUGGAGAAUUGGUUGGUUCAGCUUAACGCUUAUAGCCAACAAGGUAAACUCGAAGAGGCCGAAGCCAUUCUAAAAUCGAUGAUUGAGGCUAGAAUUUCCCCAAAUAUUGUUGCGUACAACACCUUGAUUACUGGGUACGGAAAGAUAUCUAAUGCGAAUGCUGCGAAAAGUAUAUUUCAACAACUUGAGUGUAUCGGCUUAGUACCUGACGAAACAACUUACAGAUCCAUGAUAGAGGGUUUUGGUAGGGCGGACAACUAUAAGGAGGCAAUGUUUUAUUACGAGGAACUCAAGAGAUUAGGGUUUCAUCCAAGCUCGUCCAAUUUCUCCACGAUAAUUAAUCUACAAGCGAGGCAUGGGGAUGAAGAAGGUGUAGUUCAAACUAUUAAGGAUAUGAGAGCAUCGAAAUGUCAGUUUUCGUCCAUGAUUAGUACCCUUCUUCGGGCAUACGAAAGGGUUGGAAGGAUGGAGAAGCUCCUUCCUAUUCUAGAAGCUUCUUUUUACGAGAAUAUUCUAAUCGAUCCUACGUCGUGCUCUAUUUUAGUCACGGCGUAUGUUAAAAAUUCCUUGUUGGAUGAAGCUCUACGAGUUUUACGUGAUAAGAAGUGGGAGGAUCCCAACUAUGAAGACAAUUUAUACCAUCUUUUGAUAUGUUCUUGCAAGGAGUCGGGUCGGUACGAGGAUGCUCUUAAGAUAUACAAUCAAAUGCCAAAAUCUGAGAUGAACCCAAAUCUACACAUCGCAUGCUCUAUGAUCGACAUUUUCAGUGCCAUGGAGAGAUUCACGGAUGCCGAGAAUCUUUACUUUAAACUAAAAGCUUCGGGCUCCACAUUCGACAUGAUCGCAUACAGUAUUGUCGUGAGGAUGUACAUCAAAGCCGAGCUUUUCGAAAGAGCUUGUUCAGUUUUGGACGCGAUGGAGAAGCAAAAAGACAUCAUUCCGGAUACUUAUCUUUUUCGCGACAUGCUACGGACUUAUCAAAGGCGUGGAAUGCUGGAGAAGUUGGCGAAUGUCUAUUAUUGGAUACUUAAGGUCGGAGUCGACUUUGACGAGGCCAUGUAUAACUGUGUGAUAAACUGUUGCGGGCGCGCCUUACCCGUGGAUGAGUUGUCGAGGCUUUUCGAUGAGAUGAUUCAGCGUGGGUAUUCGGCUAACACAAUCACUUUUAACGUAAUGCUCGAUGUAUAUGGAAAAGCCGGGCUUUUCAGAAAAGCUAAUAAGGUGUUUUGGAUGGCUCGCAAGCUGGGUUUGGCCGAUGUUAUUUCAUAUAAUACCAUCAUAGCAGCUUACGGGCAAAGCAGAAAAUUCAAGAGCAUGCGAUUGUUAGUUCGAAGAAUGCAGAGUGCCGGUUACAGCAUUUCACUCGAGGCAUACAACUGCAUGCUGGAUGCGUACGGAAAAGCAGACCAACUCGAGGAGUUCAAUGAAGUAUUGAGAAAGAUGAAGGAAGCAAAAUGCGAUUCCGACCACUACACGUAUAACAUUAUAAUUAAUAUCUACGGGAAAAAGGGUUGGAUCGAAGAGGUCGCCGGUGUGCUUAAGGAACUUAAGCAGCGCGGUCUCGAACCCGAUUUGUAUGGCUACAAUACGCUGAUAAAGGCGUAUGGGAUCGCUGGAAUGGCUGAAGAGGCGGUUAAAAUAGUGCAGGAAAUGAGACGUAGAAAGAUAAACCCUGAUCGGGCGACUUACAGUAACCUCAUCACUGCUCUCCAAAGGAAUGAGAAUUUUCUAGAAGCUGUUAAGUGGUCUCUCUGGAUGAGGCAGAUGGGGUGCCCCAGCUGAAAACGCUGUCGCAGAACGAUUACACGAGUUCGAAUAAGUAAAAGAGCACCAUUCGAGGAGAUUGCAGAAGCUCUCCUGUUUUCCAGUCCCCUCAUAAUCCAGAGUUCGUAAGGAUUGAAUUGGAAGUACUGCAUCGGAUUAACGGCAUUCGAGCUCUCCUCAUAUUAUCUUCUCUGAGGAGCUUCCUACAGAAAUUUUCUUUUCUAUUUGCAACACAAGUGACUUUUUGGCUUCUCAUAGUGUAGACAUUUCCAUCUGAUUGUGCAAGGAAUAGAACAAAAGGGGUGUAACUUGCAAGAAAAGCAGAGGCUAGGGGUUUCUGCGUAAUUUUUUUUUUCAUUUUUUUAGGGAUAAUAUCUAAUAUACUGUUCAAAACUUCUGAAAUAUCUUAUAUAUCCCUACUUUUCGAAUAUUUCUCUGUUAUUCAAAAGUAAUCCCGCUGUUAAUACAUGUUAAGUCGGGUAAAUAAGAAAAGUUGGUGAUGGUAGAAGAGUAUAUUUGAAAAAGCAAAAAUUUAAAAUAUUUUUUUUGUCCCUAUCUUAAGAACAAACAGGAAAAAAUAGUAAAUUUACAGAGAUAACGACUAUUUUUAGAAUUUAACUGCAGGGAUAUAUUUGAAAUAAGUUAGAAUGUUAAAAGAGUAUUUUAAUAUUAGUCUUCUAAGAGGGGUAAAUUAAAUAUUUAUAAAUUUUUUAGGGGUGUAUAAGUAAUUGCCCUCAGAUAUGUGUGUAGUUUUUUGUUUAACCCCCCUUUGUCGACUAGUGAAUGAUUUCUACAUGAGAUUAAUUUGUUCCCAAAAUUGUAUGGAACCCCCUCAAACUAUAGGUCAUUUCGCGAUGGCCCUCUCGGCUUUGAACUUUUUGAUAAAGACCCCUCUUUUAACUUUCAAUUUUUAGAAAUUGAGAAAUUUUAGUCAAAAACAUUCAGAAUUCCAUUGAAUUUAUCGGCAAAUUCAUCAAUUUGACAAUUUCAAUCCACUUUUCGCAAAUAAAACUGUGGUAAUUGAUGAUUAAUUUUUAACAAAAUUUUCAACUGAAAUAUUCAAAUUAUUCCGAAAAUGUCUUUAAUGGAUCUCAAUCAAAAAGUUGAAGUUGAGGUGCAGCAUCAAAAUUCCCUAUACUUGAGGGGGUCUUCAUACAUAUUUUCCAUAUAAUAAUGUGGUUCCCUUAACAACUUGUAUAUAUAUAUAUAUAUAUAUAUUUAUUAGUUAUAUUAUUCAAAGUUCUUAAACCCUCAUUAAUGGCCUCCCCCAGGCCACCUCUUCCUCAGGUACAGCCUCUUACAAUUGAAUCUCACACUAUAUUAAUACUAAUAAAUAAACAAAUAAAUAUACAUAAAUAAAUAUAUAAUAGUAAUAGUAAAGUAAUAAUAAUUAAUGCUAUAUAUUUUAAAAUUAUUUUCUAUCAGAUGUAUCUAAUGAUAUUUAUAGUUGUUUUCAGAUGAUAUUAGAGCAGUAGAAAUUUUUAGUUGAUCUCACGAGACUCUUUUUUCAAAUUUUCUUUCAUUUAGUUUAAGCUCGUGUCUUGAAUCUGAGUAUUGAGUAUAAUAUAUUAAAAAUAUUAUUCUCUAAUAACAGUAUAAUACGGUAUUUGAAUAGAUUAUCCCCUGUAGCUUCAAAAAUUAUUUCAUAUAUUACCACUCUCUUGUUGGUGUAUGUUAAGCGUGAUAAUUAAUAAAUUGUGUCACAUUCACUAGUAUGAUAUCAUA